UGAUUGCAGAUGUCAUCAGCCUCAGG
rnacentral:piRNA from 1 species